CCAAGCUGAAGCUCUCAAUUGAGGGGCAUAUGUUUUAUGCUCCUCGGGAAGGUCUGAGAUCGCCUGCAAACUUGCCCGAGAGGGCUUCCGCCGAGAGGCGGAACAGGUCAACAGAAAAAAACUCUGCCAGUCGCUAUAGCGGACGACCGGAGAAAUCCGCGACGCUGCUGCUGGCAGUGCUGGAAGCACCUGUGGCAGUAGCUCGAUAGUGCAAUAUGAGAGCUUUUGCAUCGCAAGAUGGAAAAGAACCCAAUUCAGACUACUCUCAGCUUGG
rnacentral:RNase_P_RNA from 2 species